AGCUAGAUGAUGACAAUUGUUGGUCUGAAGUAAAUGUUGAAAUUAAACAUCACAAUGACCUUCAAAGUUCUCUGAUUGCU